rnacentral:rRNA from 1 species
UACGUAGGUGACAAGCGUUGUCCGGAUUUACUGGGCGUAAAGAGCGCGCAGGCGGUCGUUCAAGUCGAGUGUGAAAGCCCCCGGCUCAACUGGGGAGGGUCACUCGAUACUGAUCGACUCGAAGGCAGGAGAGGGUAGUGGAAUUCCCGGUGUAGUGGUGAAAUGCGUAGAUAUCGGGAGGAACACCAGUGGCGAAGGCGACUACCUGGCCUGUUCUUGACGCUGAGGCGCGAAAGCGAGGGGAGCAAACGGG